UUUUCCUCAGACUUUGCUUCUUGUGCUGCACCUGGUAAUGAGCACGUGGAGGGAGAGGGGACAACAAAGACCAGUGGCUGAUUGCACGGCAGAGUUGGACUUUAGUGAACUUCUUUGACUUCACAAAGAAAUGUGAAAUCUGGCACUUAGCAGAGGCAGAAGGAAACAUCUGGAUGCUUUUGAUCAAAGAUGCUUGUGGAAAAUGAGACUGCAGAGCAUCAAGAAUGGCACAGUUUGAGAAAGAGAAAGAAAGAAUGAAACUCUCCUCAGCAGAGGGGUGUGAUUUCUGUAGUUUCCUGAGCACGCAGAAGAGGGGAGAGGACCUUCUUUGCCCAUUUGCUAGAGAACAGUUGAUAUUGCAUUUGACAAUCCUGUAAUCCAAUUUAUAUCCAGCUUGCUGCUGGCCACCUGUGAGCAAUUUUAUUCUGUGGCUUUUUGUUUUAAUCUGAGAGCACUCAUUUGUCUGUGAAGGAUGAUUCCCUUGGACUGCCUCAGGAUCUUGGGCCCACCACAACAGCUGGGUACUUAAUUCAGACAUUUGGAGUUACUGAAUCCUGAUUUUUUUAGUAGGAGUUUUAGUCUGUGGGAUGAAUCCUGCACUCAGAAAAUUGCUUUUUGUGCUGUGGUGUUUGCUACCAUUGUGCUGUGAAGGUGAAGUUCUGUCCCAGUGCAUGCAAAAUGAAAAGUAAAGUAACCUGACUGGCUGCCUGCCCUUUCAGACAGUAAAAUGAAACAGUCCUUAGCUCUGGUAAUGGUAUCAGCAAUGCUACCUUGAUCUAAUAAUCCAGGCAAAAUGAUUUUACUGCUUCAAAUUUCCUGUUGAGGGGUUUGAGAGGGGAUGGUUGUC